UGGGGAAUAUUGGACAAUGGGCGCAAGCCUGAUCCAGCAAUGCCGCGUGUGUGAAGAAGGCCUUCGGGUUGUAAAGCACUUUUAUCAGGAGCGAAACGCUGUCGGCUAAUACCCGGCGGAACUGACGGUACCUGAGGAAUAAGCACCGGCUAACUUCGUGCCAGCAGCCGCGGUAAUACGAAGGGUGCAAGCGUUAAUCGGAAUUACUGGGCGUAAAGCGUGCGUAGGCGGUUUCUUAAGUCUGCUGUGAAAUCCCCGGGCUCAACCUGGGAAUGGCAGUGGAUACUGGGAGGCUAGAGUGUUUCAGAGGGUGGUGGAAUUCCCGGUGUAGCGGUGAAAUGCGUAGAGAUCGGGAGGAACAUCAGUGGCGAAGGCGGCCACCUGGGACAACACUGACGCUGAGGCACGAAAGCGUGGGGAGCAAACAGGAUUAGAUACCCUGGUAGUCCACGCCCUAAACGAUGCGAAACUGGAUGUUGGUCUCAACUCGGAGAUCAGUGUCGAAGCUAACGCGUUAAGUUCGCCGCCUGGGGAGUACGGUCGCAAGACUGAAACUCAAAUG
rnacentral:rRNA from 1 species